CAACAUGAGACCUGAAGAGGCAUCAGUGGGAAGCUGUUCAUUUGGCUGACACGGUGAUCAGGACUGCACACUCCUCAUAUCCGCCUCUGCUCAAAGACUCGGUGCCUGGCGUCGCGUCUUACUGGAGUGAAAUCAUCGACUCGUCGCUCUGCUAACUGAUUUGCUGUGUGUUGUUGCAUUGCACAUGGAGACCAACGGGGGGUUUCUCUCCACUGCUCAUGCAGGCCUGCUGCUGUGAGGGAGCGUCCAGGCCAGCAGCCGUCUGGCAUUGCAGCAUUCACACUGGGAAACACCACGGCCAGUUCAUCAGCUGACAGAAGAAAUCACAUGCUGCAGUCAAGUACACCUUGGAGAGGUUCGCAGUCCAUCAUAGUGUGACAAAACGAGCAAAAGUGGAACGGGAAAAGGACCAUCAACAUUUUUUAAGCACCUGUUGUACCUCAUGGCCUCCUGGGUCUGGUCGACUUUUGGUCUCAUGAAGAUAAGAAGACGUGAAACCAAAUGAUGCAUAAAAGGAAAACCUUCCUGAUUCAGAGGGUAGAUCUGCUCUGGCUGUGAUCAUUCAUUCCUGCUAUCACAGCAUAAUUAUUUAUAAACAGCAGAAAGAGAUUACCGAACUGCAAAGGGCAAUAAAAAAAACUGAACCGCUGUGACAAAAAGGAAAAAAAAAGGGACUGCUCCACCUGGUGCCGCUACCUGGUGCCUCUGCUCAUCCACCUCUCUGAGCCCAUUCAGCAUUUCCAACCCAACAAGAACAGACGGUGUGAAGAGCGACUUAUUGGAUUGGAUCCCAUCCAGCAGUGACUUAUACGCUCAACCUAUAUGUCACAGAUGGUAGGAUUUCUGUGUGGUUGAUAUAGGAAAUCCACUAAGGAGUAUUGAUCUCGCUGAGAUCUGCUCUCUCCGCCUGAUCUUGCCGGAUCUGAACAACCAGAGAGACCUGCAGGGGAGUCGAGCCGCUGGAAUCUUGUUCUAGCCUUAAAAGCUAAAACAGAGAGAUUUCUGUUCAAAUAUUCAGGUAGAAAAUGAUUCUAUGCCACGUUUUGCUGUCGCUAAAUGAAUACAUACAUACAGAUGGGGAACGGACCAUUUUUUACAACCUGUUUCAGCGCAACGGAUAAAAAUAGUUUAUGCAUCUUACGUUGCUCAAACUGUGCCAACAGAAAACUGAAGGAAACUACUUGUUGACUCACUGUUUGCUUGCAGACUCCUCUUCAGGUAGAUUAGGUUCAGACCACAGCAAGGAGCCGGCUUUACCUCAAAGAUUUCCCCAGCACAAAGUAGGCGGACGAUAAUCCACUCAAUCAUGGCUUGAAGAUGAACAUAAACACGAUGUCUUUGUGACGUGUCAGGAGAUCUCCAACCACAAAUAGGCAUCCAAACACAAACAUCAGCGCUGGUUUUGUGUGCAUAUAUGACAGAAUUACAGUAGAUGUAGGCUUCUCCAAUGCAAAGACAGAAUCCCACCUUUCCGGUGCACAUCUACGGGCCUCAGGUGUGCCUGGCAGGUAUGUGCCCAUCAGCCUGCACACAUCCACAUCGCUUUUUCCAUUUCUGACAACUAAUAUUACCACUGGCAUUGUUUCGGUAACUAAAACGCUUAAAGCAGUUAUUUCCUAAUGCAUUUGUGGAGAUUAUCUCAAGAUGUUCAGUUUAGUGUUUCAUGGCCCCAAACUUUAGGAGUCCCCAAAUCCAAGAGUUUAAUUUUUCAGAUUAGAUGAACUGUAAAAACUAUUGUUAACUAAUUAUUAACCACGUUGACUUUCACCAGACAGUAGAGUGGAACCGAUGUUUCUAUGCUAAACAGCGCCGAUCAAUGCAGCAGCUACAGCUGGGACCAGACACAGUAAAAAUGGACGUAUUACCUUUAUACUCACUGUCUGACGUGAAAUCAGUCUAAAUCUUUCCUGGUUUAGGCUACUUAGGUUUAACAAACACUUCUGUAAUAUUUGGUCUUUUAAACUGCAGGAUUUGGAUCAAAGGUUUUGGCUUUCUGUCCAGGGGAACCGGUACAACUAGGUUGGGUUUGUGGGCCGUCUUGCUCACACACACCUUUGAGUGACUGAGAUAUGUA